rnacentral:rRNA from 1 species
CCUGAGAAACCCAAAAGAUCGAAUGGGGAGAUUCAUCGUCAGCGGCUCUCGGUGCGUGUGCGGUUCGGGAUUUCGCGGGGCCUCGGUCUCGCGGAACUCGUCCGCAUUGUUAUUUAUGCCGGAGCUCGUCGGCGUGCACUUCUCCUCUAGUAGGACGUCGCGACCCGUUGGGUGUCGGUCUACGACCCGGGUGGGAGUCUGUCGUGCGUCGCGCUUCACGGUGCGUCAUGCGGCAGACCCCCGGACGYCCGNCCGACUGCCCGGCGGUACUCGCACGGUAUCGGGCCGCAAUUUUGAACUGCGUCCGGCUUGUCGCAAGCGAGGCACAAGAUUUUCAUCUCGGACGUACGGACCUCGUGCCGUCGCCGGGCUUGUCCAGCUGUUGGUCGACAAUGCUCUCGGACUGGCUCCGUCACAAUACCGGUCGGCGACGCUACUGCUUUGGGUACUUUCAGGACCCGUCUUGAAACACGGA